UACGUAGGGUGCGAGCGUUAAUCGGAAUUACUGGGCGUAAAGCGUGCGCAGGCGGCGCGUUAAGACAGGUGUGAAAGCCCCGAGCUUAACUUGGGAAUUGCGCUUGUGACUGGCGAGCUGGAGUGUGGCAGAGGGAGGUGGAAUUCCACGUGUAGCAGUGAAAUGCGUAGAGAUGUGGAGGAACACCGAUGGCGAAGGCAGCCUCCUGGGCCAGCACUGACGCUCGUGCACGAAAGCGUGGGGAGCAAACAGG
rnacentral:rRNA from 1 species